UGCUUGUGCAUCGAACUGUUGACACUCCMMCUGUUUCAAUCUUUCCCCAAGUGAAGCUAUUUUCUUGUGGGCUCGUGUGGUAUCCUGUGUUGCUUGCCAAUGAAAUGGAAUUUCAUAGUCUUGUUAUGUGAAUUCGCCUUGUGCUUUUUGGGGUGCGAGGUGGACAUUCGGUGAGCACCGUGUUCCUAACAUGCCAAAUGCAUUGGUGUUUGGUUGUUGUGGCCUAUGGUGYCUUUGCUUGUUCUCUCGGAUGCGGAAAGUUAAGUGUGGGUGUGAGGUCUCGACCUUGAACCAUCCCAGCACUGUCUCUUUGACCGGAAUGACUGCUGCGCCUGUCUUGAUCUUCCCGACCAAGGCCUCGUAAAGGGGCUUACUGGACGAGGGUGGAUCAUGCAGGUGUUGGCGUCAAAGWGGAAAGCUAC
rnacentral:misc_RNA from 1 species